rnacentral:rRNA from 1 species
AUUGAACGCUGGCGGCAGGCCUAACACAUGCAAGUCGAACGGCAGCACAGAAGAGCUUGCUCUUUGGGUGGCGAGUGGCGGACGGGUGAGUAAUGUCUGGGAAACUGCCCGAUGGAGGGGGAUAACUACUGGAAACGGUAGCUAAUACCGCAUAACGUCGCAAGACCAAAGUGGGGGACCUUCGGGCCUCACACCAUCGGAUGUGCCCAGAUGGGAUUAGCUAGUAGGUGGGGUAAUGGCUCACCUAGGCGACGAUCCCUAGCUGGUCUGAGAGGAUGACCAGCCGAACUGGAACUGAGACACGGUCCAGACUCCUACGGGAGGCAGCAGUGGGGAAUAUUGCACAAUGGGCGCAAGCCUGAUGCAGCCAUGCCGCGUGUAUGAAGAAGGCCUUCGGGUUGUAAAGUACUUUCAGCGGGGAGGAAGGCGAUGUGGUUAAUAACCGCGUCGAUUGACGUUACCCGCAGAAGAAGCACCGGCUAACUCCGUGCCAGCCGCCGCGGUAA